rnacentral:ncRNA from 1 species
AGGUUCUCAUCGGGGUGCUUAUCGCGGCGACAGCCGGACAAGCUGAGAAAAUACUCGUAGAACCUGAACAGAUUAGGGCUAUUUAUGAAAAAUAAACGGAUCCUAAUAUCUGCGUAGGGAAUUGAGAAACGUCAAUUU